rnacentral:rRNA from 1 species
UACGUAGGGUGCAAGCGUUAAUCGGAAUUACUGGGCGUAAAGCGUGCGCAGGCGGUUUUGUAAGACAGGUGUGAAAUCCCCGGGCUUAACCUGGGAACUGCAUUUGUGACUGCAAGGCUGGAGUGCGGCAGAGGGGGAUGGAAUUCCGCGUGUAGCAGUGAAAUGCGUAGAUAUGCGGAGGAACACCGAUGGCGAAGGCAAUCCCCUGGGCCUGCACUGACGCUCAUGCGCGAAAGCGUGGGGAGCAAACAGG